CGACCAGGUAUCUGUUGCAGUGAAUCCCAUGCUACAGAGGACAGAGGAUGUAGCAGUCCAAGCAAUGCCAUACAGGAUGUCAAUGCCACAGAGGAUGAUCAUCAUUUAUACGAUGAACCCAUUCACAUGCAG